rnacentral:rRNA from 1 species
CCCUUAGGUGUCCUGGGCCGCACGCGCGCUACACUGACAUGUUCAACAAGCCUCCUAGUUCGACAGGAUUUGGGAAAUCUUUGAACGCAUGUCGUGAUAGGGAUAGAUCAUUGCAAUUAUUGAUCUUGAACGAGGAAUUCCUAGUAAACGCGAGUCAUCAGCUCGCAUUGAUUACGUCCCUGCCCUUUGUACACACCGCCCGUCGCACCUACCGAUUGAAUGUUUCGGUGAAGAUUCCGGAUAGGACUUUUUUGAUUUAUUUCAAUUUUGUCUUAAAAGCUAUCUAAACCUCAACAUUUAGAGGAAGGUGAAGUCGUAACA